UUAAAAUAUAUUAACAUAGAGAAUAGAUAAAGGAAAACCUAAUCGUGUGUUCCAAUCUUAACCUCUGUUUCUCUCUCUCGCCGUCGUGAAUCGCUCCGGGGUUUCCAGCCACCAGAAUGCUUCUGCAUCUUCGUGAGUCCUCCGUCUCCGUCUAUUCUCCAUUGCGAGUCCUCUCCUUCGAAUGCUCCUGCAUCUUCGUGAAUCAUCUCCGUCAAGCGCUUCGGCAACAUCGUGAAUCAUCGUUAUCGACUGUGUCACAUCCAUUCGUUCAUCUCAAUUCUAGGGUUGUUUCAGCGCGUUUUGUCACGCGGAUUAUAGUGUAAAUACUCAUUCUUCUCCCCUACUUCACUCCAUUUUAACCCUGGGUUCUUUGUUUCAGAGUUGAUAAAUAGUAGAUUCGAUGUUGAUGGUGAUGAGGUUAUCUAGACAAAACAGAGGACAGAAGGAAAAGAUGAUUGAAGACUUGAUCCUAACAUAAUCCAGUUAUGAGAUGACAAGAGGUAAAUAAAACCUAAUAUUUUCAAAAGUUUAUUAUAAUCUGUGUGGAAACUCAUUUCCAAAGUUUAUUAUAUUCGGUAUAUAAAUUCGUGAAACAUAACUUUUAUUGUUGUUUAUCCUAUCUCUAUAUAUGAAACUUUUAGAUUGUCACUUCCAAUUUUCAAGAGACUGGAUACAGUGAUAUUUGCUAUUAAUUUGGUUCAUGAAAUGUGUUGAUAUGGUUAUCUUAUGUUUGUUAAUUGCCUUCCAGUUUCAGCAAUGCAGGUUAUUUAUCAGGGAUUAGUUGUUGAUAGGUAACAUAUCAUUAGGUUAUUGGUUGAUUAGUUUUUAAUUAAUUCGGCUAUUUAAUUAACCUAAAGCGACAUGCUACUGUAUUUGCAGAUUGAUCACUUUCGUUAGUCAGGAGACUACGCUCUUCAGUUGUGAUGUAUGCUUGAUUUUUGAAGACUGUAAUAUCAGUUUUGAUAGGAACCAAGUUUGAUGAUUUCAUUCAGCUCCAUAUUGAUGCAAAUCUGGCCCUAGCACAAGGGGUUUGUUUGAAUUUCUUAUAAUUUAUUUAAUUUCGGUUCUUAUUUCUCAAGGCAUUCUCACUAACUAAAAUGGUAUUCGACUAAUUCAAAUGUUUUUGUAUGGUUUGAAGUUCAAUAAUUAGUUUUGGAAUACUUAUAUCUGCAAAAAAUGUGCACACAUUCGCAACAGUUCAUUUUAAUCAUCAGUAUGAAAGGUUUAAAUUCUGAAAGAUCACUUUGUGAGUGAAACCAUACAAAUUUUGAAAGGGCUAAGAGAGCGCUAUGAGAUUCACCACAAGCUCCGUUAUACCGAUGAUGCUUGUGUAGCUGCUGCAGAGCUCUCACAUCAAUAUAUCAGUUAUGGAAGUUAUUUCUAAUCAUAGGAAUCUAGAAAACAACAAACUACAAGGUCUACUUCAUGAUAGUGAAAUGGAUAACACAUCAGGAUACAAGCCAUCAGGAUAUGUAAAAGUGAAGGGGGAUAUAACAUUCUAUUAUAGCUGCUGUUAAGAAUUUGUAAAUUCACUAUUUCUGACAGUAGUUUCAGUGCCUCUUCACACACCGACACAGAGGUUAAUUACUGAACAAUAUAGCGGAAAUAUUGAGUUACAACAACCGAGUCCCGUAUCAGUUCUUGACUCGCAGUUUUACAAAGACGACUCGUCGUGUUCACCAUCUCCAAUAAUGAAAAGAUGCAUUGAAUAUAAAGUGAGAGCCCUUGUUUCAGUUGUUCACAUGUAAACUUGCGUUCGACUUUGACGAAAUCAUUCUCAUGGGUAACACUCCUGUCAAUGGCCUCCUGCAGCAUUGAGAAGAUUAUACGAUGCGGAAGGUAAAGAACAAAAUUAAAUACUCUCUGAAUCAAUUUUUGUUAUUUCUUAUUUACAAUGAAUGCUUUUUUUGUUGUUUCACUAGCAUUUUAGCAAUCAAUAUAAGCAAUUAACUAAAAGACAACAAUGGACUAAAAGACUCAUAAAUAAGCACUUUAAGCAAUUUGCAAGUGUAUUAGGUUGGAUGUUAACCAGUGUAGUUUAUGAACGGUUGGUACUCUUUUUUUCUCCUUUAAAUAAUAGUCUCAUGCUUAUUCUCUCCUGAAUGUUAUAUGCUUUGAAGUGUUGAAGUUGCAGCUAACUUUUAUGCUGAAUCAGGAUAUGUUAGUUAGUUGGUUGCAGAGUUUACGGGGAUAUUCGGCUCUGCUUGAUAUUCCAGUUAAUGCUUCCUUUAGCUAUUGCAGUAGUAGCGUUUUUGUAUCCCUCCAACUAUACUCACUCAGGAUAUUGGUUUUCAUCAAUAGGUAUGCCUCACACUUUUGUAACACUUAUUUACUUAUGAAUUUCGAAUAUUAUGUCUAAACUUAUGCUUUGAGUCCUAAUAUUUUUAGCACAGGAAUUUAUCUGCUAGCAAAAUUUGAAGUUGUUUCCUUCCCUUCGACAAUUCACUAACAGGAAAGGAAGAAGUAUGUAUUUCCUUCCCUUUUGUUUUUGAAGUUUGAAUUGACAAACUAACAGUUCGUGUUAUUUUCUUGUAUAUCAAACUAGAGUUCAAACCGUUAUGUCAAUAUUCUUCUAAGUUUGAAUUGCAAGGUAUGUAUUAUAUUUAUGAACAAUUCGUUGUCUAAAUUUGUUCAACUAGAAGGAUAACUAAUAAAUAAUUUUUUGAUGGAGGGAUAGUUAAGACGUAGGAAUCUCACUUUUUGAUAUGGUUUGAAAGUAACAUUUCCAAUUUAAAUUCAAAAAAUUAUUAGAGUUCAAUAAUUAUAUAUAAACAAUAUUAAUUAUACACUAAAAAACUAUGAAAUUUGUAAUGAGUUUAUAGUUAUGGUGUAUGGAAUUUGACUUGCAUUUUGUUUUGUAAUAGGUAAUGUGACCUUUGAGGAAGAGUGGAACAAUUUAUCUAGUAAUCAUGAAAGAGUAACAAUCAAAAAAGUAUGUCCUGUUUGUCCCAGUUGCUGAAUUUUUGGGUAACAUUUCUACUGGUUUUUUUACCCUCGUUAUGAAUCUGAUAUGGGCGUGUGUUUACUUGGUUGGCCAUAUUUGGUACUGUUAUGAGGCUGUUGUGUUAUCUAUACUUGGUACUGUUAUGGGGCUGUUGUGUUAUCUAUAUUUGGUUCUACUUAGUAGGAUUUUUUGUAUCUUAGUGAGUUUUUGUGCUUGAGUCAUUUUCCUGCCAUAUGGUGGCUUGACAGAGUUGGGUUAGAUAUGAAAUGAAUGUUGGAUGAUUGUUGGAAAUGUGAGGAUCUACCGUUAUUACCGGCACUUUUCAUUUUAGUUUAAGACUUUUCUUUUCCUAGAGUUCCUUUUCUAAUUUCUAGUCUUUGGGAUGGAUUUUAAUAUAUUAUCAGCAAGGGAUCUGGUGUUGGUAGGGUGCCUAAGGCAGUGGGUGUCGAGAUAAUGUGGCAAUGAUGUUACGCAAUUAGUUUAUGCAGUAAUAGAUAAUUGUUAAUGACCUGCAUGCAGUCUAACACCACAUGGUACACCCCUCCCUGUAAUACUGCUAGGGGAAGCAAAUACU